rnacentral:rRNA from 1 species
GUGCUUGAUUGGUACAAAGCAAGAAAGGAGGAAGUGAGAAUUGCGUUUGAUGAGCUAUGCCCAGGAAAUGCACAAAUGAUUUCUUCAAAAAUUCAAAAAGCACUUGCCAAAAGUUGUGCAGAUGGGGUCCGAAGAGCAAUAAAACAAGAGAUGGGGUAUAAUCUUUUUUCGGUUCUUAUUGAUGAAUCUCGUGAUAUAUCAGUAAAAGAACAAAUGGUCUUGGUUGUGAGGUAUAUGAGCAAGGGAGAAGUUAUUGAAAGAUUUUUGGGUAUCAAGCAUGUCAAGGAGACAACAGCAGAAGCACUAAAGAAAGCAUUGGUUGAGGUUCUUGGUAAGAAUGGGCUACUUAUUGCAAAUUUACGAGGGCAAGGGUAUGGUGGAGCAUCUAAUAUGAGGGGAGAAUUCAAUAGUGUUCAAAAACUUGUCCGAGAUGAAAACCCAUAUGCUUUCUAUAUGCAUUGUUUCGCCCACCGAUUGCAGCUAGUAGUUGUUGCUGUCUCAAGAUGUUGUUCUUCCAUUGAGGAUUUCUUUGAAUAUGUGGCCUUGAUUGUGAACGCCGCUGGUUCGUCUUGCAAGAGGAAGGAUAUAUUGCUUGAUAAGCAACGCAUAAAUCUGUUGGCUAAGGCAGGAGGUUUGGUGCAGAUAAUGGAGUCUUUUAGCUUUGUGUUCAUCAUGAAGUUGAUGUUGCAAAUCCUUCGCAUUACAAAUCAGUUGUCACUUCUCCUCCAACGGAAGGAUCAGAAUAUUGUUCAAGCCAUGUCUUUGGUUACAGAUGUGAGGUCUUCCUUGGACAACUUGAGGAGCCAUGGUUGGGAACCACUCUUU